rnacentral:lncRNA from 1 species
UUUGCACAACCCCAUAAGCAGGGUGGUUGCCAAGGGCGUUGCUGCUACAUUUGACAUGGCGGAUGAAAACAGUUUCCUGUUCUGACCUCAUGUUUUAUCUCCACUUCCGCUUUGCUCUCUCAUUUAAGCCAAGAGAGGGGGAAAAAAAGAACAACAUCUAUUUUUUUCUACCCAAGAUGAAGAUUGCCGUAAUGUUGCUUGUUUUCAUAAGAGGAAUUGCAGGUGCCACUUUCUUUCUUAAUUAUGAAGCCAAAAACCAGACGCUGAUCUGCAAGGCAUCAAGCCAUCCAGGCGGGACAGCCUGGUGGUUUGGAGAUCACUCUACGCAGAAAUUCAAAAUGUCUAAGGGUGCCGUUUCAACGUGUCCAACAGAGCAGCAGGGAGGUGACCCAUGCUAUACCGAAGGAAAGGAACUCAAUUCUGCUUUUCCUCACGGUCAAAUUGUUGCGUGCAAAUCCCAUGAAAAAAACAAGACGUCUGGGCCCCCGAUAUUUACUAACAAGGAGGACUGCAGGGAAUUUGAUUUCUUCAUUCUAGCAAAAAUGAACCGAACCGAACAGAAACGUCUGCAGGUCAAAGGAAAAAAUUUCAGUCUCCCCUGUGAAUUUCAACUGCAGGAAAACGUAGCAAACUUUGCUGUUUACUGGCUCAAAGAAACGGACCAGACUACUUGCCUACAUUCAGUUUCAAAUGAAGACCAUCACGAUAUUCGUAGCUUUUCCUAUAACAUAAACUGCUGUGUUGAUGCCAAUAUGGAAAACAGAACACUCAGUGAUUCAAAAAUCAUAGACUCAGAAGGACGACACCAAAAUCAUGAGCUUACAAUUGUUGAUGUCAUCCCCUCUGACACCGGGAUAUAUCUGUGUGUGCUCACCAUGUUUGCGAAGCCACAAAACUGGAGGAUUGUGACUAACAUGUCCGUAGAAGUGGAGGAUCCUUCAUCAUCUACUGUGCUGAAAGUUUCUUUGGGAAUCGUGGGAGGUGUGGUUCUGAUCAGCGGGAUUGGGCUGCUUUUUUACUGCAAGAAUCGAAAGGCAACAGCCUCUGAACAGCAUCAAAGGGAUUACACAAUAGCUGAAAGAGAAGUUGAUGACUGCACGCCUUAUGCCAUAUGCAGUCGUAAUGUCAUAGAUGGAAAUCAAGCCAUAUAUUCACUCGUCAUGAAACCGGGGGUGAAUUCAAACAUAGCGUCGUCUCUACCGGAUGACAAACCGGCUUAUGGAACAUGAUGCGGAGAAAAUUUUGAAGCACUCUAUAGUGUUGGGAAUCAGGAUCGAUCUUGAUGACUGCAGUGGGUGGAAUGACCACCUCUGCGUUUGAGUUUCUGCUACAAAGCUGACCUAGACAACCUGCACAGCCCUGGAGUCAACCUAGACAAUGACAAGGUCUGUGGAAUUUCAGACGUAACCGAAGUCUGAAUUUCCGAGCGGAUCUCUAUGGGUUGCGUAUAAGAUUGGUUUGUUUUGUAAUUGGUCAAGGAGAAGUAAACAUGGGCAUUACAUGAGGAUAUGCCCAGCCUUUUCCAACCCAAUCCCCAUCCUUGAAUAAAAAACUCAUUAAUACGGACCCA